AGCUGGCUGGUUCCAUGAGGUGACUUCUGCCCAGUGCUCUGAUUGUCAAGGCGAAGAGAUUCAGCCAAGCGCGGGUAAACGGCGGGAGUAACUAUGACUCUCUUAAGGUAGCCAAAUGCCUCGUCAACCAAUUAUUGACGCGCAUGAAUGGAUCAACGAGAUUCCUGCUGUCCCUAGGUGCUGUCCGGUGAACCAACAGCCAAGGGAACGGGCUUGGGCGUGUCAGCGGGGAAAGAAGACCCUGUUGAGUUUGACUCUAGUUUGAUGCUGUGCAGUGACAUGUCGGGUGUAGCACAGGUGGGAGGCCAGUGCCACCAAAGUCAUCAUUGCGUGUGCGGGGAAUGUGCGGGUCCUCCCCACACUUCUUCGUGUUGUGCAACAAGAUGGUGCCAGCCAGCAGUGAAAUACCACUACCUUCACCGUCGCUUUACUCAUCGAGUGGCUUGGGAACAGUGGCCAUUGGACAUCAACCUCUGCAUUCCUGUGGUGGUUGCGGCCUCAUCCUGCUUCGUGCGUCAAGCGCCCCACCCCGUGUGGUGCGUGACCCUGGGGGUUCCACCCCAACCAGCAUAUUGGUGCCUCGGGACAAUGAUCAGUUGGGGAGUUUGGCUGGGGCGGCACGCCUGUCACAGGACAACGCAGGCGUCCUGAAGCAUUGCUCAGAUGGAACAGAAAUCCUGCAUGGAGGAGCAGGCCAAAGGUGCUGCUGAUGCAGCGGCUCCCAGUACGAGCCCGAAACGUGCAAGUGUGGCCUUGCGAUCCUUUGGCCAAGUGCGCGGGUUCUGGAUAUUGAAGCCAGAGGUGUCAGAAAAAUUACCACAGGGAUAACUGGCUUGUGGCUGCCAAGCGUUCAAAGCGACGUCGCUUUUUGAUCCUUCGAUGUCGGCUCUUCCUAGCUUCCCACCCGCAGCCGAGUGGAAGAGUUGGAUUGUUCACCCACCAACAGGGAACGUGAGCUGGGUUUA
rnacentral:rRNA from 1 species